rnacentral:misc_RNA from 1 species
AGUCGUAACAAGGUUUCCGUAGGUGAACCUGCGGAAGGAUCAUUAACAACGUUUUCUCUAUUUCACUAAUCGUUGAUCAAUUCAACUUUUUUUGAAAUUUAAUAACACCAAUUUACACCGAACUGUCGAACCCUAUGUACUGUAUUUACCCCAAACCCCAAAACUUAAUAAAAACCAGGCACUGAACUCCCUUUUUGGGUGUGGUUCGGUCCUAAAACAAUAAAUUUAAAACCAAAAAAUCAAAAGAUUAUUAAUCUUAACUUAAUCAAUCUUACUACACAACUUUCAACAAUGGAUAUCUUGGCUCUCGC